AACGAACGAGGGGGGGAGGAGAAACACAUGCAAGUCGAACGAGACCUUCGGGUCUAGUGGCGCACGGGUGCGUAACGCGUGGGAACCUGCCCUUAGGUUCGGAAUAACUCCCCGAAAGGGGUGCUAAUACCGGAUAAUGUCUUCGGACCAAAGAUUUAUCGCCUUGGGAUGGGCCCGCGUUGGAUUAGCUAGUUGGUAGGGUAAAAGCCUACCAAGGCGACGAUCCAUAGCUGGUCUGAGAGGAUGAUCAGCCACACUGGGACUGAGACACGGCCCAGACUCCUACGGGAGGCAGCAGUGGGGAAUAUUGGACAAUGGGCGAAAGCCUGAUCCAGCAAUGCCGCGUGAGUGAUGAAGGCCUUAGGGUUGUAAAGCUCUUUUACCCGGGAUGAUAAUGACAGUACCGGGAGAAUAAGCUCCGGCUAACUCCGUG
rnacentral:rRNA from 1 species